rnacentral:rRNA from 1 species
GCCUUAAAGCUAGCCCACAACUUUACUUCACCUUAAAAUUAUUGUAGUGAAAGGAGAUGAACUUAACCCAGCCAACAAACCAUUUUUCCACCUUAGUAUGGGAGACAGAAAAGGAAUCAGGAGCUAAAGAUAAAGUACCGCAAGGGAAAGCUGAAAGAGAAGUGAAAAACCUAAAGCACAAAAAAGCAGAGAUUUAAACUCGUACCUUUUGCAUCAUGAUUAAGCUAGAAAAAAUAAUGCAAAGCGACCUUAAGUGUUAUUCCCCGAAACUGGACGAGCUACCCCGAGACUGCCUGCCUUAGGGCUAACCCGUCUCUGUGGCAAAAGAGUGGGAAGAUCUCCGGGUAGAGGCGACAGACCUACCGAGCCCAGUUAUAGCUGGUUGCCUAGGAAAAGAAUAGAAGUUCAGCCCUUCCCCAUUUUUGCUCAAAUUCUAAUACCCAUCAGACAUGAAGGUCCUGGGAAGGAGUUAGUUAAAGGAGGUACAGCUCCUUUAAACCAAGAUACAACUUUCUUAGCAGACUAAAGACUAGAGGAAAUCAAGGUAUAUUAUUUUAGUGGGCCUAAAAGCAGCCAUCUAGGAGAAAGCGUUAAAGCUCCAAUAAUUAUUCAGCCUAUUAUUCUACUAAUAAACUCUAACCCCGCUUUCCUUACUAGGCCAUUCUAUGCCCACAUAGAAGAGAACAUGCUUAAACGAGUAACAAGAGGGGGCGCCGCCCCUCUCCCAGCACAGGUGUAAACCAGAACGGACCCACCACUGGCCAUUAACGGCCCCUACACAUGAGGGUAUUACAAGGCGAAACAGAUUUCUAGGAAAGACUUUAAUCCCUACCGUUAACCCCACACAGGAGUGCUAGAAGGAAAGACUAAAAGAGAGAGAAGGAACUCGGCAACCACAAACCCCGCCUGUUUACCAAAAACACCGCCUCUUGACAUAAGAUAAGAGGUCCCGCCUGCCCUGUGACUAAAGUUUAACGGCCGCGGUAUCUUGACCGUGCGAAGGUAGCGCAAUCACUUGUCCUUUAAAUGGGGACCUGUAUGAAUGGCACGACGAGGGUUUAACUGUCUCCUUUCUCCAGUCAGUGAAACUGAUCUCCCCGUGCAGAAGCGGGGGUAACCCUAAAAGACGAGAAGACCCUAUGGAGCUUCAGACAAAAAGUGGUUUAUUUUAAGCUGGGACCCACCAAAACCCUAAGCUUACUUAACCCCCACUCCCAGUCUUUGGUUGGGGCGACCGUGGGGAAAAGAAGAUCCCCCAUGAGGACUUAGAUCACCCAUCUAAAAGCCCAGAGAGACAUCUCCAAGCAUCAAAAAAUUUGACCAGUAGAUCCGGCCAAAGGCCGAUCAACGAACCGAGUUACCCUAGGGAUAACAGCGCAAUCCUCUCCCAGAGCCCCUAUCGACGAGUGGGUUUACGACCUCGAUGUUGGAUCAGGACAUCCUAAUGGUGCAGCCGCUAUUAAGGGUUCGUUUGUUCAACGAUUAAAGUCCUACGUGAUCUGAGUUCAGACCGGAGCAAUCCAGGUCAGUUUCUAUCUUUAGUACUCGCUCCUCCUAGUACGAAAGGACCGGAGAAGCAGGGCCCAUGCUUAAAGCACGCCCUACCUAACACCACAGAAGCCAAAUAAAGUGGACCCCGGGGAGAAUUCCCUGUCAAAGAGAAUGACUU